rnacentral:rRNA from 1 species
CAGGCUGCAACCCGCCUGUAUGAAGUUGGAAUCGCUAGUAAUCGCGGAUCAGCAUGCCGCGGUGAAUACGUUCCCGGGCCUUGUACACACCGCCCGUCACACCAUGAGAGUCGGGAACACCCGAAGUCCGUAGCCUAACCGCAAGGGGGGCGCGGCCGAAGGUGGGUUCGAUAAUUGGGGUGAAGUCGUAACAAGGUACC